rnacentral:tRNA from 1 species
GCCCGCGUGGCGGAAUUGGCAGACGCGCUAGACUUAGGAUCUAGUACCGCAAGGUGUGGGGGUUCAAGUCCCUCCGCGGGCA